CUUUUUUUUUUUUUUUGUUCAUUUUAUGGCAUUGAAUUUCUUACAUUUUUAUUUUGCUACGGGAAAAGCACAUCAGUGUUUUGUUACGUUAAGGGAAUAUAAAUAUAUAUAUAUAAAUACGUUUAAUCCGUUGACGUUUGUGUUCAGUUUUAUUGUUACAAUGUUUGAGUGUUUAAAAUAUCUGUACGACUUUGUAUACAACUGAAAGAAUUCCAGUCUUAAACCAGCACGCCAGUCAGAGUUGUUCACUGUCAUAUUCAAAACAUUUCAUCUUCUCAUUUGUUUGUUUAUUGUAGCCUCCAGUUUAUUCAACAAGAUCCAUGUGCUGUAUCUUUUGCCCCCCCCUAAUUGCCUUAUUGACUUGACCCUCAAAAGUGUUUUGUUUUUGUCUAAUUGCACACUAAUUGCUAUUUAUACAAUUAUUUGCUGAGGUGUGUGCCAUCUGUAGAGUCUCUUCCAGUUCAGCAUUUUGGCUUUUUUUGUUUUGGUCAACAACUCUAGUUGUUUGUGUUUAAAUAGACAUCUUAUUAGUGUUGUGAGAAGCUGCUUGUUAACUACAAAUUUCAAUCUGGAGCUAGAGCAAUAGUUGUUUUUUUUAACUACUUUAUUAACUGCUGGGGCUUGAUGUAUUUUUGAAAUGUGUGUGCAAGUCGUUUUCAAUGGUAGUUGCAGUCUGUAGUGAAUGCUACUCACCAUUGUUUUGUAUAGGUCUCAAUCAAAAUCAGACAUGCAAGUGUGGAGACAUUAUUUGUGUGUGCGUGUGUUUCAAUAAUGAACAACUAUUGUUUUAUUUUGGGCUUUUUUCUGUUAUAUGUUGCUACUGCCAUUAGUUGUCAUUACUUAUAAUAAAAUUGUUGAAGGUAUUGCCUGCUAAAAAAAAUCAUACUUUCUGACUAGAAUUUUGUUAAAUCAUGUUUUGUUUAACUUACUGCCAUGUUUGUUUGGCUCAAUGUGAUAUAUAGGCACCAGCUUGAUCUGUUUAAUUCAAAUCAAAAUUUUUUUUUUCAUUCCUCCACCCCCCCCCCCCCCCACC